rnacentral:rRNA from 1 species
AUGGUGGCACAAAAUCGGAGGCCCCGACUGUUUACUAAAAACACAAUUCAGAGCAAUGAUGUAAAUCAUAGUAUUCUGGAUGAAAUUUGCCCAAUGCCAUUAACAUAAAAGAGGUAAUAGGAAACUGUUACUAAUUGAAAGUCUGGUUAAUAGCGGUCUUAACUAUGAGGAUCCUAAGGUAGCAAAAUCAGUUGGCCAUUAAAUGUGGUCUGGUAUCAAUAGUGUAACGAUGGUCUCACUGUCUCUACAACUUGCUCAGUGAAAUUGAAUUACCCGUGCAGAUGCGGG